GAUACUUGUUUUAAUUUGCUAUACUAUAUGGAACAAAUUAUUCAAGCCUGAUAUCAACAUAUUAUGAUACCGUACUUGUACUUGUGUUUAUAGGCCCGACCGUUGAUGGCCGCCCGCAGCCGCUGUUCUUUCCAGCUUCGGCUCGGAAGGCGACGCGCACAUUGUCAAAGAUCUGCCUUGACGGUUAUAUGGGAAUUUGAAGACAAAUGGGCAACUUUUAGAGGUAUCAAUAUGCAACUCAGAAGCAGCAUACCACCAAUGGCACAACGGCGAUUCAAUCUCAUUGCGUACUACCCAUUAUUAUACACAAAACCCUUCCGACGUUCUUACAGAGUGCUCAAUCCUCCCGUCCCGUGCCUCGCUGCAUGCGCCUUCUGUACAUCCGUUACGAAAUCCUUCAUUUUCCAAGGCGGUACACUCUUCUCGUACAUCUCAUCCAAUUCUGCCGGGUUUCGUUUGGCCACUUCCGGGAGGAGGAAUAUGGUCAAGAUCCAAACGAUGGUUCCAAAACCAAGGAAAAUGAAGGCAGUGUUGUAGGUGUUGCCUCCAAGUUUGGCGCCUCCAUCAACUAGAUGGAGGGAGGUUUAACAGUCAGUAGAUUGCAUCGACACGGGCAAGCGUAAGGAGAAUGGUGGGACGUACGGAGCAUGAUAGGAACGGAGGUGUUGAAUAUAAGGCCGAAUAUUACAGCGAUCCCAGAACCCAGACCAGAAGUACGUGCUCGAAGCUUCUGGGUAGCAACUUCUCCUGCAAAGCUCCAUCCAAACGCACCCACUACACAUCAGGCGUUUUCCAGUUAGCCAUACCUUCAUUUACAAAGGUUUGGCAGAGAAGGUGAAGGGAGCAGACUUACACCCUACGUUGGCAGCGGACCAGAUACAAGCGGCGACAAUAAGCACGACUUUGGUCGUUUCAUUGUGGAUGACAUGCCCCAAGACUCCAAUGACGAGUAGCAUGGCGCAGCAGAUACCUGCAAGGACAAUGACAAUGGUUCGACGGCCCAUUCGGUCAGUGGUAAAAGUGAAGACGAUGACGAAAAACACUUUGAUGCCGACUGGAUAUUGCAGCAGAGUCAGCAUCUAGUGUUGUAAUUAGGAACGGGGGCAGGGAGCAUGCUUACAUAGGAUGGAAGUAAUUUCAAAAGCAUUGGUGAAACCAGCUUCACGGAAAAAGACUGAAGAUACGUCCUUAGCAUCAUCAUAACCGUGUUCUACUUUCUCAAUGUUACUUACGAGAUGCAUAACCAGAGAG
rnacentral:sRNA from 1 species